ACUAAGCUGACGGGCCUUUAUCCCGCAAAACUUUAAUUAACAACUAAAUGUCUAACUCUAUCGGACUUCAGCUUA
rnacentral:tRNA from 1 species